GCCGGGCGCGGUGGCGCACGCCUGUCCUCCCAGUGCCUCGGGAGGCUGAGGCAGGAGGAUCGCAAGUUGGAGGCCAGCCUCAGCCACUU
rnacentral:sRNA from 1 species